UGCCCAGAUGAUGCAGACAGCCCCACCUCAGC
rnacentral:piRNA from 1 species